AACUUCCUUGGACUCUUCUCUCACUGUAUUAGUGCCCGGUUCUGCAUCAAAGCGAAAACUUUUACAGAAGAAAGAAAACUGCUCCAGGGCAAAAGCGUGUGGCGCAAAAAGCCACAGCAGAGCCGGAAGCACAGCGCAGCCCCCACGCCCUUCCGGGCCGGCGGGCGGCGGCCCCCUCUCCCCCGGCCGGCGCACCCAACCCCCACCUGCCCUCUGUCCUCCGGGGCGCGCAGACCGGUGGGAAAGGGAGCCUGAACAUGGGUCCUUGAGCAUGGCAAUGUGUGUGCUUUGCCAGGUGCACCACCACCUAGCUCCUGCAGGUGGGGACUAGGAACUUCAACCCAGGACUUUAUGUAUGAUAACACGUGUGCUCUACGAGCCACCAAGUUGCAGAUGCUACCAUGAUGCCAACCUGAGUUCCCUGGGCAGAUGACCUCAUCAAUACAUCCUAGAACCCCACCUCUCCAGAGCCCUGCCCCACUAGGUAAAGACAGAAUCAAGCUGGGAGUAUGGAUCCACCUGCUAAUGCCCAUGUCCAGCAGGGAAGCAAUUACAGAAGCCAGACCUUCCACCUUCUGCACCACAUAAUGAUCCUGGGUCCAUGUUCACAAGGGGACAAAGAAUAGGAAAGCUUCCAAUGAAGGGGAUGGGAUACGGAACUCUGGUGGUGGGAAUUGUACCCUUCUUUUCCUACGGUCUUGUUAAUCAUUAUUAAAUCAAUAAAAAAGUCAACAAUU